rnacentral:rRNA from 1 species
GGGUUGUGAGGUUAAGCGACUAAGCGUACACGGUGGAUGCCCUGGCAGUCAGAGGCGAUGAAGGACGUGCUAAUCUGCGAUAAGCGUCGGUAAGGUGAUAUGAACCGUUAUAACCGGCGAUUUCCGAAUGGGGAAACCCAGUGUGUUUCGACACACUAUCAUUAACUGAAUCCAUAGGUUAAUGAGGCGAACCGGGGGAACUGAAACAUCUAAGUACCCCGAGGAAAAGAAAUCAACCGAGAUUCCCCCAGUAGCGGCGAGCGAACGGGGAGGAGCCCAGAGCCUGAAUCAGUGUGUGUGUUAGUGGAAGCGUCUGGAAAGGCGCGCGAUACAGGGUGACAGCCCCGUACACAAAAAUGCACAUGCUGUGAGCUCGAUGAGUAGGGCGGGACACGUGGUAUCCUGUCUGAAUAUGGGGGGACCAUCCUCCAAGGCUAAAUACUCCUGACUGACCGAUAGUGAACCAGUACCGUGAGGGAAAGGCGAAAAGAACCCCGGCGAGGGGAGUGAAAAAGAACCUGAAACCGUGUACGUACAAGCAGUGGGAGCCUCUUUUAUGGGGUGACUGCGUACCUUUUGUAUAAUGGGUCAGCGACUUAUAUUCUGUAGCAAGGUUAACCGAAUAGGGGAGCCGAAGGGAAACCGAGUCUUAACUGGGCGUUAAGUUGCAGGGUAUAGACCCGAAACCCGGUGAUCUAGCCAUGGGCAGGUUGAAGGUUGGGUAACACUAACUGGAGGACCGAACCGACUAAUGUUGAAAAAUUAGCGGAUGACUUGUGGCUGGGGGUGAAAGGCCAAUCAAACCGGGAGAUAGCUGGUUCUCCCCGAAAGCUAUUUAGGUAGCGCCUCGUGAAUUCAUCUCCGGGGGUAGAGCACUGUUUCGGCAAGGGGGUCAUCCCGACUUACCAACCCGAUGCAAACUGCGAAUACCGGAGAAUGUUAUCACGGGAGACACACGGCGGGUGCUAACGUCCGUCGUGAAGAGGGAAACAACCCAGACCGCCAGCUAAGGUCCCAAAGUCAUGGUUAAGUGGGAAACGAUGUGGGAAGGCCCAGACAGCCAGGAUGUUGGCUUAGAAGCAGCCAUCAUUUAAAGAAAGCGUAAUAGCUCACUGGUCGAGUCGGCCUGCGCGGAAGAUGUAACGGGGCUAAACCAUGCACCGAAGCUGCGGCAGCGACACUAUGUGUUGUUGGGUAGGGGAGCGUUCUGUAAGCCUGUGAAGGUGUGCUGUGAGGCAUGCUGGAGGUAUCAGAAGUGCGAAUGCUGACAUAAGUAACGAUAAAGCGGGUGAAAAGCCCGCUCGCCGGAAGACCAAGGGUUCCUGUCCAACGUUAAUCGGGGCAGGGUGAGUCGACCCCUAAGGCGAGGCCGAAAGGCGUAGUCGAUGGGAAACAGGUUAAUAUUCCUGUACUUGGUGUUACUGCGAAGGGGGGACGGAGAAGGCUAUGUUGGCCGGGCGACGGUUGUCCCGGUUUAAGCGUGUAGGCUGGUUUUCCAGGCAAAUCCGGAAAAUCAAGGCUGAGGCGUGAUGACGAGGCACUACGGUGCUGAAGCAACAAAUGCCCUGCUUCCAGGAAAAGCCUCUAAGCAUCAGGUAACAUCAAAUCGUACCCCAAACCGACACAGGUGGUCAGGUAGAGAAUACCAAGGCGCUUGAGAGAACUCGGGUGAAGGAACUAGGCAAAAUGGUGCCGUAACUUCGGGAGAAGGCACGCUGAUAUGUAGGUGAAGUCCCUCGCGGAUGGAGCUGAAAUCAGUCGAAGAUACCAGCUGGCUGCAACUGUUUAUUAAAAACACAGCACUGUGCAAACACGAAAGUGGACGUAUACGGUGUGACGCCUGCCCGGUGCCGGAAGGUUAAUUGAUGGGGUCAGCGCAAGCGAAGCUCUUGAUCGAAGCCCCGGUAAACGGCGGCCGUAACUAUAACGGUCCUAAGGUAGCGAAAUUCCUUGUCGGGUAAGUUCCGACCUGCACGAAUGGCGUAAUGAUGGCCAGGCUGUCUCCACCCGAGACUCAGUGAAAUUGAACUCGCUGUGAAGAUGCAGUGUACCCGCGGCAAGACGGAAAGACCCCGUGAACCUUUACUAUAGCUUGACACUGAACAUUGAGCCUUGAUGUGUAGGAUAGGUGGGAGGCUUUGAAGUGUGGACGCCAGUCUGCAUGGAGCCGACCUUGAAAUACCACCCUUUAAUGUUUGAUGUUCUAACGUUGACCCGUGAUCCGGGUUGCGGACAGUGUCUGGUGGGUAGUUUGACUGGGGCGGUCUCCUCCUAAAGAGUAACGGAGGAGCACGAAGGUUGGCUAAUCCUGGUCGGACAUCAGGAGGUUAGUGCAAUGGCAUAAGCCAGCUUGACUGCGAGCGUGACGGCGCGAGCAGGUGCGAAAGCAGGUCAUAGUGAUCCGGUGGUUCUGAAUGGAAGGGCCAUCGCUCAACGGAUAAAAGGUACUCCGGGGAUAACAGGCUGAUACCGCCCAAGAGUUCAUAUCGACGGCGGUGUUUGGCACCUCGAUGUCGGCUCAUCACAUCCUGGGGCUGAAGUAGGUCCCAAGGGUAUGGCUGUUCGCCAUUUAAAGUGGUACGCGAGCUGGGUUUAGAACGUCGUGAGACAGUUCGGUCCCUAUCUGCCGUGGGCGCUGGAGAACUGAGGGGGGCUGCUCCUAGUACGAGAGGACCGGAGUGGACGCAUCACUGGUGUUCGGGUUGUCAUGCCAAUGGCACUGCCCGGUAGCUAAAUGCGGAAGAGAUAAGUGCUGAAAGCAUCUAAGCACGAAACUUGCCCCGAGAUGAGUUCUCCCUGACCCUUUAAGGGUCCUGAAGGAACGUUGAAGACGACGACGUUGAUAGGCCGGGUGUGUAAGCGCAGCGAUGCGUUGAGCUAACCGGUACUAAUGAACCGUGAGGCUUAACCUUACAACGCCGAAG